rnacentral:tRNA from 1 species
CGAGAUGUAGCGCAGUUGGUAGCGCGCAUGCUUUGGGAGCAUGAUGCCGUGAGUUCGAGUCUCGCCAUCUCGACCA